rnacentral:rRNA from 1 species
CAGCCGCCGCGGUAAUACAGAGGGUGCGAGCGUUAAUCGGAUUUACUGGGCGUAAAGCGUGCGUAGGCGGCUUUUUAAGUCGGAUGUGAAAUCCCUGAGCUUAACUUAGGAAUUGCAUUCGAUACUGGGAAGCUAGAGUAUGGGAGAGGAUGGUAGAAUUCCAGGUGUAGCGGUGAAAUGCGUAGAGAUCUGGAGGAAUACCGAUGGCGAAGGCAGCCAUCUGGCCUAAUACUGACGCUGAGGUACGAAAGCAUGGGGAGCAAACAGGAUUAGAUACCCCGGUAGUCCCUGUCUCUUAUCA